rnacentral:rRNA from 1 species
AGAGUUUGAUCAUGGCUCAGGAUGAACGCUAGCGGCAGGCUUAAUACAUGCAAGUCGAGGGGCAGCAGGUUUGUAGCAAUACAAAUGCUGGCGACCGGCAAACGGGUGCGGAACACGUACACAACCUUCCUUUAAGUGGGGAAUAGCCCAGAGAAAUUUGGAUUAAUACCCCGUAACAUUAUGAUGUGGCAUCACAUUAUAAUUAUAGCUCCGGCGCUUAAUGAUGGGUGUGCGGCUGAUUAGGUAGUUGGCGGGGUAACGGCCCACCAAGCCUUCGAUCAGUAACUGGUGUGAGAGCACGACCAGUCACACGGGCACUGAGACACGGGCCCGACUCCUACGGGAGGCAGCAGUAAGGAAUAUUGGGCAAUGGAGGCAACUCUGACCCAGCCAUGCCGCGUGGAGGAUGAAGGUCCUCUGGAUUGUAAACUUCUUUUAUAUGGGACGAAAAAGGGCCUUUCCAGGUCAACUGACGGUACCAUAGAAUAG